AAUGAACGUUGGCGGCGUGGAUUAGGCAUGCAAGUCGAGCGAGAACCCCGCAAGGGGGGACAGCGGCGAAAGGGACAGUAAUGUGUAGAUUAUCUGCCCUCAGGUCCGGGAUAGCUGCGGGAAACUGCAGGUAAUACCGGAUAACAUCUCCGGAUCAAAGGUGUGAUUCCGCCUGAGGAUGAGUCUGCAUCCUAUUAGCUAGUUGGUGGGGUAAUGGCCUACCAAGGCAUUGAUGGGUAGCAGGUGUGAGAGCACGACCUGCGUCAUUGGGACUGAGACACUGCCAAGACAACUACGGGUGGCUGCAGUCGAGAAUCGUCGGCAAUGGGCGCAAGCCUGACCGAGCGACGCCGCGUGUGGGAUGAAGGCCUUCGGGUUGUAAACCACUGUCAGAGGGGAUGAAAUGCAGGUGGGUUCUCCCAUCUGUUUGACAUAGCCUCAGAGGAAGGACGGGCUAAGUUCGUG
rnacentral:rRNA from 1 species